rnacentral:rRNA from 1 species
GGGUUGUGAGGUUAAGCGACUAAGCGUACACGGUGGAUGCCCUGGCAGUCAGAGGCGAUGAAGGACGUGCUAAUCUGCGAUAAGCGUCGGUAAGGUGAUAUGAACCGUUAUAACCGGCGAUUUCCGAAUGGGGAAACCCAGUGUGAUUCGUCACACUAUCAUUAACUGAAUCCAUAGGUUAAUGAGGCGAACCGGGGGAACUGAAACAUCUAAGUACCCCGAGGAAAAGAAAUCAACCGAGAUUCCCCCAGUAGCGGCGAGCGAACGGGGAGCAGCCCAGAGCCUGAAUCAGUGUGUGUGUUAGUGGAAGCGUCUGGAAAGGCGUGCGAUACAGGGUGACAGCCCCGUACACAAAAAUGCACAUACUGUGAGCUCGAUGAGUAGGGCGGGACACGUGGUAUCCUGUCUGAAUAUGGGGGGACCAUCCUCCAAGGCUAAAUACUCCUGACUGACCGAUAGUGAACCAGUACCGUGAGGGAAAGGCGAAAAGAACCCCGGCGAGGGGAGUGAAAAAGAACCUGAAACCGUGUACGUACAAGCAGUGGGAGCACAGAGCAAUCUGUGUGACUGCGUACCUUUUGUAUAAUGGGUCAGCGACUUAUAUUCUGUAGCAAGGUUAACCGAAUAGGGGAGCCGAAGGGAAACCGAGUCUUAACUGGGCGUUAAGUUGCAGGGUAUAGACCCGAAACCCGGUGAUCUAGCCAUGGGCAGGUUGAAGGUUGGGUAACACUAACUGGAGGACCGAACCGACUAAUGUUGAAAAAUUAGCGGAUGACUUGUGGCUGGGGGUGAAAGGCCAAUCAAACCGGGAGAUAGCUGGUUCUCCCCGAAAGCUAUUUAGGUAGCGCCUCGUGAAUUCAUCUCCGGGGGUAGAGCACUGUUUCGGCAAGGGGGUCAUCCCGACUUACCAACCCGAUGCAAACUGCGAAUACCGGAGAAUGUUAUCACGGGAGACACACGGCGGGUGCUAACGUCCGUCGUGAAGAGGGAAACAACCCAGACCGCCAGCUAAGGUCCCAAAGUCAUGGUUAAGUGGGAAACGAUGUGGGAAGGCCCAGACAGCCAGGAUGUUGGCUUAGAAGCAGCCAUCAUUUAAAGAAAGCGUAAUAGCUCACUGGUCGAGUCGGCCUGCGCGGAAGAUGUAACGGGGCUAAACCAUGCACCGAAGCUGCGGCAGCGACGCUUAUGCGUUGUUGGGUAGGGGAGCGUUCUGUAAGCCUGUGAAGGUGUACUGUGAGGCAUGCUGGAGGUAUCAGAAGUGCGAAUGCUGACAUAAGUAACGAUAAAGCGGGUGAAAAGCCCGCUCGCCGGAAGACCAAGGGUUCCUGUCCAACGUUAAUCGGGGCAGGGUGAGUCGACCCCUAAGGCGAGGCCGAAAGGCGUAGUCGAUGGGAAACAGGUUAAUAUUCCUGUACUUGGUGUUACUGCGAAGGGGGGACGGAGAAGGCUAUGUUGGCCGGGCGACGGUUGUCCCGGUUUAAGCGUGUAGGCUGGUUUUCCAGGCAAAUCCGGAAAACUAAGGCUGAGGCGUGAUGACGAGGCACUACGGUGCUGAAGCAACAAAUGCCCUGCUUCCAGGAAAAGCCUCUAAGCAUCAGGUAACAUCAAAUCGUACCCCAAACCGACACAGGUGGUCAGGUAGAGAAUACCAAGGCGCUUGAGAGAACUCGGGUGAAGGAACUAGGCAAAAUGGUGCCGUAACUUCGGGAGAAGGCACGCUGAUAUGUAGGUGAAGUCCCUCGCGGAUGGAGCUGAAAUCAGUCGAAGAUACCAGCUGGCUGCAACUGUUUAUUAAAAACACAGCACUGUGCAAACACGAAAGUGGACGUAUACGGUGUGACGCCUGCCCGGUGCCGGAAGGUUAAUUGAUGGGGUUAGCGCAAGCGAAGCUCUUGAUCGAAGCCCCGGUAAACGGCGGCCGUAACUAUAACGGUCCUAAGGUAGCGAAAUUCCUUGUCGGGUAAGUUCCGACCUGCACGAAUGGCGUAAUGAUGGCCAGGCUGUCUCCACCCGAGACUCAGUGAAAUUGAACUCGCUGUGAAGAUGCAGUGUACCCGCGGCAAGACGGAAAGACCCCGUGAACCUUUACUAUAGCUUGACACUGAACAUUGAGCCUUGAUGUGUAGGAUAGGUGGGAGGCUUUGAAGUGUGGACGCCAGUCUGCAUGGAGCCGACCUUGAAAUACCACCCUUUAAU